rnacentral:rRNA from 1 species
AGGACGAACGCUGGCGGCGUGCUUAACACAUGCAAGUCGAGCGGUAAGGCCUCUUCGGGGGUACACGAGCGGCGAACGGGUGAGUAACACGUGGGUGACCUGCCCUCAGCUCUGGGAUAAGCCUGGGAAACUGGGUCUAAUACUGGAUAUUCACUUCUCAUCGCAUGGUGGGUGGUGGAAAGUUUUUCGGCUGGGGAUGGGCCCGCGGCCUAUCAGCUUGUUGGUGGGGUGAUGGCCUACCAAGGCGACGACGGGUA